AGUGAACGCUGGCGGUAGGCCUAACACAUGCAAGUCGAACGGCAGCACAGUAAGAGCUUGCUCUUACGGGUGGCGAGUGGCGGACGGGUGAGGAAUACAUCGGAAUCUACUUUUUCGUGGGGGAUAACGUAGGGAAACUUACGCUAAUACCGCAUACGACCUACGGGUGAAAGCAGGGGAUCUUCGGACCUUGCGCGAUUGAAUGAGCCGAUGUCGGAUUAGCUAGUUGGCGGGGUAAAGGCCCACCAAGGCGACGAUCCGUAGCUGGUCUGAGAGGAUGAUCAGCCACACUGGAACUGAGACACGGUCCAGACUCCUACAGGAGGCAGCAGUGGGGAAUAUUGGACAAUGGGCGCAAGCCUGAUCCAGCCAUACCGCGUGGGUGAAGAGGGCCUUCGGGUUGUAAAGCCCUUUUGUUGGGAAAGAAAAGCAGCAGGUUAAUACCCCGCUAUUCUGACGGUACCCAAAGAAUAAGCACCGGCUAACUUCGUG
rnacentral:rRNA from 1 species